rnacentral:rRNA from 1 species
GAUGAACGCUAGCUACAGGCUUAACACAUGCAAGUCGAGGGGAAACGAUGGGAGGGCUUGCCCUCCCAGGCGUCGACCGGCGCACGGGUGAGUAACACGUAUCCAACCUGCCCUCUUCCGGGGAACAACCUUGCGAAAGUAAGACUAAUGCCCCAUGUGUCCUCAGACGGCAUCAGACGAGGACGAAAGAUUUAUCGGAAGUGGAUGGGGAUGCGCCUGAUUAGGCAGUUGGCGGGGCAACGGCCCACCAAGCCUACGAUCAGUAGGGGUUCUGAGAGGAAGGUCCCCCCACAUUGGAACUGAGACACGGUCCAAACUCCUACGGGAGGCAGCAGUGAGGAAUAUUGGUCAAUGGACGGAAGUCUGAACCAGCCAAGUAGCGUGCAGGACGACGGCCCUAUGGGUUGUAAACUGCUUUUAUAAGGGAAUAAAGUGGGUCACGUGUGACUUUUUGCAUGUACCUUAUGAAUAAGGACCGGCUAAUUCCGUG